GACCACUGAGAAACUGGAAGUGUUUCGUUCAGUUGGAUGUGGUUGUUCGUUGCAAACUCAUGUGUUUGUGUGUGUUCGUGAAGUAGAGAUUUUUAGACAUUCCUACUGUUUUAUAAAUAGUAAUUCCGCCUUCAGUCUUUCUUCUGCAUGUAACGAAGUCUUCAUAAUUAUUCGAUUUACCUCGAUACAAAUUCACAAAUUCAGAAACCAAGCACAGUAUCAAUUUAUCAAAGCAUUCUGAACGCAUGAGAAAUCUACGCGAAGAAAAUGGCUGACUCACAAUGCUGCAGAAUCCCAAAGAGAUACGUAGUUUUAUCGAUGAUAUUCAUCGGGUUCGCGAACAUGUAUUACUUGCAUUCGAAUUUGGGCAUGGCUUUGGUGGAGAUGACUGCACUAAAAAAUAUUACUCUUGAAAAUGGCACCAUUAUAAAGAAAGCAGAGUUUAACUGGACCUCUCAUCAAAAAGGUUUGAUACUGAGCAGUUUCUCUUACGGUGCAUUACUCAGCCCUAUUGGAGGCGUUCUAUCUGGUAAAUUUGGAGGAAGUACAAUUUACAGUAUUGGAAUUCUAGUCACAGCGGUGGUCACCUUCUUCAGUCCGAUUUUUUUACGAUAUAGUUACGAUGUGUUUGUGAUGAGUAAUGUGAUACUUGGAGCGUUUGAGACAUUUUCAUAUGCCAGUGUUACACAACUCGUUUCUCGCUGGGCUCCUCCUGAUGAACGAGCCAAGUUUGUCUCCUUCGGUUUAGUUGGAAUGAGCCUCGGUUCCGGAUUAUCUUUCAUAAUUUCCGGAUGGAUACUGAUUAAUUGGACUUGGGAGGUUCUCUUCUACGCCAGUGGAAUCGCUUUCUUCGUAUGGUAUGGGAUUUGGUUACUUGUGGUGAAAAACGAUCCUUCAGAAGAUAAUAGGAUGAGCGAAGAGGAAAAAUCAUACAUCAGUGAUAAAGUCAAGUACUCUUGCAACAAAGAAAGGCUGACGUACCCUUGGAAAAACAUUUUCACUUGCAUGCCAUUUUGGAUCGUUUGCUUAGCCAAGUUCAUAAUGGGGUGUGGAUAUACUUUUACAUUCAUGUACACGCCACAGUACAUUAAAGAUAUGAACAACAUUGAUAUUGAAAAAAUUGGUUUCAUUUCGAUGAUUCCGCAAUUCUGUGCUAUAAUUUCUGCCCCUCUCAGCGGAUUUGUUGGGGAUUACUUGAGGUCACGCGAUAUCCUUUCUGUCACUAAUAUUCAUAAAUGUUUCAUAUGUACAGCCACAUUUGGCACAGCUGUAGUCUCUGGAUGUAUGGUUUUAUGGCCAAGUUUAGCAGUGAAAAUAGCCGGAAUAUCAAUAAUACAAUUCUGCAUUACCUAUGGUUUGAUGACCAUUCUGGUUUUGUUCCUUGAUCUAGCACCAAGAUAUGCUUCGCUUUUGAACUCUAUAGCCAAUGUCUUUUUCACUGGAGCUGGGAUACUCACUCCUAUAUUUGUUGGAUUUAUCGUUACUUCCCAUAGCAUGUACCAGUGGGAUGUUUGCUUCAUAACUUUGACCUGCAUAAGCUUCGUUAUUGGAUUACUCUAUUUGAUUUUCGGAUCUGGGAAAGAGCGGUCUUGGGCAAAUUAUAGUUCCAAAGAAAGAGCAAAUGAUGUAUUGGUAUCAGCAGACAGAGCAGCGCUCUAAUCGUUGGAACCAUUUUCAAAAAAUAAUUACCUACAGACUUCAAUUUUUUUCAAUAUUGAGGACUUCUCCAAGAAAGGAAAGAGAUAAUUGUACCGGGGACUGAGACAUUUUUUUGUCGAAAAUGGGGUUAUUUGAAACAAAUUUUGAUCAGAAAUGAACAUUUUUCAGAUUUUUUUUGACCUCUUUUAGGGGGGGGGGGGGGAGUGAGGGAUUCUUAAAAUCAAUUUUUUGAAGGCUUCAUAUCAGGGGACCAAAAUUGUUUAAGGGGCAGAGGAAAGUUUUUUCUUAAAAAGGAGCUCACUUGGAGGAAUUUUGACUCUGAGAAAUUUUUCAACAUUUUCAAUUAAGUUUGAUUUACUUGUUCUAUUUUUGAAAAAAUUUCUCAAUUUUGGGGGCUCCAUACAAAGCUACUAAAAAUAGUUUGAAGGACCCGUUUAGAAGAAUUUUCAACGCAGAAAAGAUGGACUUUUCAGAUGCCAUGAUCGAAUUUAUACACUUUUUCGUUUUUUUUUCAACUUCUUAAUUUCAAGUUUGAGGGCUAAAAAUGUCUAGGAUUCAAAAAAUAAAAUAAAAACGAACAACUCGAGGAAGUUCAGAGCAGAAAAAAAUUGCAAAAAUUUUAACAUUGGUUAUUAUUUUUGUCUUUUGACGUACCAUACGAGACAGCAUUUGUGUUCAUUUGGAUCGCAGCGUUUGAUAGGUAUGAUGAAUAAAUAUUUUUUUUGUGAUAGUAUUUUUUCUAAUUGAUAGUUUUCAAAUAUAUUAUUAUUUUUUUUAAACUCUAUCAUUUCUUGAAAUUAGAUUCUGGAGACUUCCUUUGAAAUGAGUCUGAAAGGAGACGAUUUGAAAAAUCGGCAGAUAAUUAAAAUCCUAUUAAGAGAAAUAAACGUACCAAAAAUUGAUUUACUAUGGCAUAUAAUAGCUCUACUGUAUCUACCAGUACUAGCGAAUGUUUAUCCCCAAAAUACACUUCAUAUCAGUUUUUCAUUCGAAAUCCGUUUAUGAUGGCAUUACAUAGUUAUACACUAUACCAAGAUAUGUGCAGUUGAACUUGAAGUACCUCAGUAAUAAGAUCGUAAACCACGUUAUCUUUUUCACCUGCACUAUCUCGCAAUUAUUACCUAUUACAUAUAAUCUAACGAUUUUUUUUCGCUUACCUACUUCACAAAUUUAACAUUUUUUAACCAAGUAACCCAGAUAGUUAAUCAGUGAGUUAGAAUAAUUAUGUCAUGUUAUAUCGAAAAGUGAAAAAUGAGACUUCCAAAAUGCAUCAGCAUCCCCAAAAGAUACAUCAUCGUUGGUAUGGUGUUUGUUGGUUACACAAUUAUGUUUUAUCUGCAUUCCAACUUGGGUAUGGCCGUGGUAGAGAUGACCACAAAGAAAAACAUCACUCUUCAAAAUGGCACCGUUGAACAAAAGGCAGAUUUUAACUGGAGCUCGAACGAAAAAGGUAUCAUACUGAGUAGUUUUUCAUAUGGUCGAUUACUUAGUCCCAUCGGAGGUAUUCUGGCAGGGAAAUUCGGAGGAAGUACAAUUUAUAGUAUUGGAAUUCUGAUU